rnacentral:rRNA from 1 species
GACGAACGCUGGCGGCGUGCCUAAUACAUGCAAGUAGGACGCAGUUGCGAACGGGUGAGUAACGCGUAGGUAACUACCUAUUAGAGGGGGGUAACUAUUGGACACGAAAGCUAAUACCGCAUACUAGUAGAUGGAUCUACGUUUUAUUAGCUAGUAGGUAGGGUAAUGGCCUACCUAGGCAACGAUACAUAGCCGGCCUGAGAGGGGGAUCGGCCACACUGGGAAUGAGACGCGGCCCAGACGCCUACGGGGAGCAGGCGGAGGGAAUCUGCGGGAAUUGGGGGAACGCUUACCGAGCAACGCCGCGUGAGUGAAGAAGGUUUUCGGAACGGAAAGCGCUGUUGAUUAGGAAGCGGUACUUAACCAGAAAGCGACGGCUAACUACGUGCCAGCAGCCGCGGUAAUUC